CGGCUCCCGUCGGUCCACACGGACCGAUGAGGAAAGUCCCCCCACCGUCCGGACGGGUGACCGGGCGCAAGCCCGGAGUCGGAGACGGCUGGCGCUGGAACAGAAACGAGACCCCUCGGCCCGACCGAUGAGACGCGCUCGGCGGCGCGAGCCGCCGGCGGUGCGAGCGGGGUGACCCGCACGCACGCGAACCGACCCGCGAGGGAAGGGAGUUGACCCGUCGAGGGAACCGCGGUCGCGACGCGACCGCGGAACGUGAGCGGUGGAAGCCGCGAGCGCGUGCGCGUCCCGUGAUUACGACGGGCGAGCGGCAGAGCCGCACGCACGCGGGAACGGCCGAGAACGGAUGGAACGGCGAAUCCUCACCGGUGCAAGUCCGCGCCGCGAAGGUAGUCCGGACAGGGCGCGGGCGCUCAGCCGAAUGCCGAGACGAACAGAAGGGGGCUUA
rnacentral:RNase_P_RNA from 1 species